GAAUAACUAAAUAUAUAAGAAGUACCCGACAUGAACGUUUUAACUAAUUCAUAGGAAACUGUAAACGUUGUUGUAUGUUGAUGGGUGAUAAGAUCGAUCUAAGCACCUAACUGUUGGUUUUCUGUUGCUAACGAUGUUCUUCAUGAAGCUGUUAUUCGAUCGAUCGAUCUAUAUAUAUAUACAUAACAUAAUGUUUAACUUUAAUAGAACGGAUGAAGUGUCGUUAUUGAUGUACGUUCCUUUUCCCAAUUAUAAGCUUGUUACUUUUCCAAAUAUAAGCUUGUUGCUUACGUGGGACCGACCGGAAAGCUUAUCAACCGUGGAUGCUGCGGUUGAUAUAUUAAUGAUCGAAAAAAUACGUUUCAUCUUUUCAAUCUGAUAUUUAUUUCUUUCAAUCUGGAAAAACUUCUGAUGUGACGAACCGCACGGUGUUCAAUGCGGUGUCGCAUUACGUUCGUCGGUCCGGAUGUCAUUAUGUGAUGUCUGAAACGACAUCGGAGGAUUGCGGUCCACCACGAUCGAGGAAUAUCCCAGGUUGGAAGAUUCCAAUCGAGGACGACGAUGACAGAAAUCGUCCGGUUAAGCGAUUCCAGUCAUUGAUCGUACGACGCACAAGUUUGUGUCGUCAAUCUUGGAUGCCCAACACCCAUUGUAAUCAUUGGGAAUCUAAAGAAAGAGGAGAGAACAUUUUCAGAAGACGGGUGGGUUUUGAUUUUCAGUUUUUGUUUUGAGGUCCGGAUCUCGUCGGGUGUAUCAGCUAAGUUGCCUUUCGUCGGAGGUACCGCACCAGAUUGUCGAAGUAGCUACUGCAGUACCGGCUUGCAUCGAGUUUUAGGUGCGGCAACUAAUUUCUGAUGUGUCGAGAUUUAGAUUUAUUUGAUCGAUGUUUAAUAAAAUACAACGAAAGAGUUAGAUUUAUUUACAUUUUAAACUAGGACGGACUGAAUUGGAAAGAUCUGAGUGCGUGUAUUAUGCAUUAAUAUUCUCAGUGGUUUGGAUAUUACAUACGAAUUAAGAAGCAGAGUUCUUUUGAUAUAUACCGUUGAUCUUUAAUCCAUCGGCCAUUGUAUCGAACUGAAUAUCUGAGUAGUUUACUGUUCACACUUCCUUAAUCGACGGGAAAUGGAAAGAUCGAUAGUCGAUACACCGCAUGCAUGCGAUUUCAGACGACAAGUGAAAGAUUCGUAGUCAUUCGUGCAGAGUUGAGUCUCCUGAAAAUCAUCCAUAUUGCAUGCGUGACAUCAGACUCCUUUCUAUAAUUAAUUAUUAAUUAGUGAUUACUAAUUAAUAAUUAUCUAUUUAUAAAUAAACUGAAAUUCGUGUCAACAAAAAUAGUACUUUCUUAUCCUCAAAUUAAUUAUUUAUCGAUACAAAAUACAUAGGUUUUUUUUUGCCUUUUUUUAUAUAAUUGAACUCACUUUAUUUGGAAUUUAUAGGAAAAAAACAAACAAACCUAAGAUUUUUAUUACAAUUAUUAGAUAAAUGGAAAAUUGAUUGAUGGAUAGAUUCAUAGAUUAUUUAUAAAUUGCAUGGACAUUAUUUUUUAAGUUCUUAUUUCUAAAACAUAUAUAUUAUAUUUUCUGUGUAGGUUUAAAGAGAUUGAUUGAAUAGAAAGGUAGAUGGUCAGGAAAUUCCAUUGGUUCCAGACGUGUCGUCCCAUUGGUUCCAAUUUUGAGGAUCGUUUUCUU
rnacentral:lncRNA from 1 species